AGUCAUCGACAACAGGUUGCCCAGCUGGUCUAACACUGGCAAGCACCUCUGGACCUUUUUUCAUGCCAAAUAAAAGUUUUCCAACAAGUUUUAUGCUCUCGUCUAUAUGCAUUCUGUGAGACAUUGCUUCCAGAACUUGCUUCUGAGCUGCAACUUUCCUAGGAGAACCCUGAGGAGCUUUGCGGAACUGACAAAGAUCAACGAAAAUUAAGUCAAAAUACACAAUAUAAUAAGCAAAAAUUAAGUCCGACUGAAAAAGUAUCUGCAGAUAACAACCCUUAUUUCCUUCAAAUUUUAUCAUCAGUACAUUAAUGCCUAUUGUUAACAUUUCAUAAAAAAUUCUGUAAAAAAAUAAAAAUUUCAAGAAAUAAAAAGCCACUACACUCAAUCAUCAGACCGGAAUUCGCACAACAUUUCCAGAUUUAUUUGAUUUAUAAUAUUACUAUUUUUGCAGAUUUCUUUUAGGAACCCAAAUAUCGGAUUCCAAAGAAAGAACACUUUUUAUUUUAAAAAUAGGAAAUAACAAGAGAGCAAGCUCUCCUACACUGGUUAUAAAACCAAACAAAACUAGUAGUCUGCAUAAGAUUCUUUCUAAGGGAUUGGAAGUCUAUAUUUAUAGACUUCCUACAUACAAGGAUAGGGAAAGGGAUCAAUAGCAACUAUAAAGCAGGAAACAAACUGAUAGACAACUAACAAACAAAACCCAACUAAGUAAGAUAAGGGAGAACAGACUUCCUAACUAAUUCUCCCUAUUCUAACUCGUAACAAUUUCAUAACUAGCUAAUAAGUUCAGCGGUAACCAAAAAUAUCUGAUUAGUGGAAUUCAGUACGUCUGAUUUUUAUGGAACAUUUGGUAAAAGGAAGGGCGAUUCCAUGCAAAACAGUGAAAUGGAAUAAUAAUGUCCAGUCUAAAACUUGGCAGUUUCAAUAAUGGGGUGGCAAUAUGGCAUUCAAUUAUUUGGUACAUGGAAUGAAUACAGAAUGGAGCUAAGGGGAAUUGUAACACACUGGCCACCCUCUUGUGCUACCAAUCUGCCACUCAUAGAAAUUUCUCUCCAUGACCUGUGGCUUAAGUACAAGGAAGCAUCUUUGUGCUUUACCACUUGAGCUCAUGCUUUUGCAAUUACCCAUGUUUCAGUGUUUUGUGAAAUCACUUACUGGGUACUUCUAGCAUGUUAAAUAAGUAAACUACGGUAACAGAGUCAAAUAAUAAAUAUCUCCUUACUAUGCAUAUACCGCGUCAUAUUUCUUGAUUUGGGAGGUAAAACAUGAAGAGGACACGAUUAAGCAUUUAUUUCGUAAAAUAUAGCACUACUACAUCCCACAAAUAGGAUACCUUAUCCCAGAAAUGGAUGAGAUCUGCAUCACGCUGGUUAACCGUUUUUGAAGGUGGCACUAAUGAGUUUCUACCCAUAAAAGUGAAAUUUUCAUUAGCAGGAUUUGAUCCCAAAUAUAGGAAUAGACUAUCCCUGCUUAGCCCUAUGUCACCAAAUUGCAUCACGUGCGAACCAUAUAUUGAAUUUCCGUUUGAAGUCCUUUCUUUGACCUGUGAGAAUAAGAGCAAUAAGACAUAUGCCACACAAUUCAAAAACACCUUAUACCUUGUUUGACCCGUAUAAUUUUAGACCGAAAAUUUUAUGAAAAUAAUUAAAAUUUUCUCCCAUCUAGUUAAACAUCCAAGGAAUAAAAUUACAUUUUUCAUUUUAUACCAGUUGAUGAUCAUGUAAAACAACAGAGCUAGCAACAGAAUCUUACCAAUUCAUAUUGCUGGUGCAAAGUUUCUGUUUGCAAAUUGUGUAUGUCACUGUUCAAAAGUUCAUGCGUAAAACAAUCAGUAAAUAAAAACCUUACACCAUUACUCAUACAAAAGUAUCUUUCUUCGAACAAAUAAAAAAAAGAUGUUAAGUGCAAAAAACAAAAUACAAGAUAAUAGGUCACAACUGGAUUUACAUCGUGACUGGCACAUAGACUACCCUCUAGUCUGGCAAGUCUUCCCUAAGGACUGUUCCCCAUCAAGAACCAAUAUGAUAUUAAUCAUAAAACCUAGAUAUAUAACAUGAUUUUUGUUUGAAAUCUUAGCAAAGUUUCCCUUGGAAUAAGAGCAUCCUAAAAUUUUAAGAAGACUAAGAUGAUAGAGAUAUGAAUCUAAUCAAUAUCGAGCUUAUAUAGGCCAACCAAUUAAUUUCUAAUCCACCAAGAGGUAAAAUUGAGAGUUUUGUGAUUGUGAUAAUAAACCCGGGCACUUUCACAAUCAAGACCCUAUUAAUGACCCUUCUAGUUCUAGGGUGUUCAAAUCUAGGCUUAAGUCUCUGAUGAGUCAAUAAUUAGUCGUUUUAGUAUAAUAUUUAGUUUCAUUUUAAUUAGAUUUAAGUUUAUUUUAUUUUAAUAUUAUUUCCUUUUAGAGCUAUUUUACUUCAAUUGCAUAUUAUUAUAUUUCAGGAAUGAAUAUAUUUGAUGGAUUGAGUCUUUGAGCAAAAGAAAGGGGUUUGGAGCUGAUUCGGAGCAAAAAUACGAAGAUUUGGAGACAAAAAUAUGUCUCCCCCAAGUCAGAAGCUUGACACGGCCCGUGCUCUCACUGGCACAUUCUAGUUAUGUAAUUGCUUAGAUUUUAAGUUUUAAGUCGAAUGUAAACUAUAAAUAGAGUAGCUAGCCAUCACAAAUAUUCAUCUUUUGUUCUUGGAAUAAAAGUUCAUCUAUAUUUUAUUGUUAUUUCCUUAUGUACUUCUUCUUCUCUUCUAUGUUUACAACGAACGUUAGUGAGUAGACUCUUCUCUUGUCUUGGGAUUGUUGGAUAAGUCUAAUGAUAUAAUCCUAAUCAAACCAAGCUUUAACCAUAAUCUUAUGUAACCCUAGUUUCUAAUCUAAAUUCACCGUUUUAACAUGAAUUAAUCAUUAUCAAACUGUAGAAGCGAAAGUGGAGGGUUUGAUAAUUGUUAAUCCAUAAUGUCAAAUAUCAAUUCAUAAAACGAGAGUGGAGUCUUGAUAUUCGAACAAGUGAAUUUAGACAAGGAUUACAAAGCCAGGUCUUUGCAAUCCUUGAAACAUUAGUAGUUUCAAACCUUAAAAGCUUCUUCUAGUAAUCAAAUCAGCGAAAUAGGUUUGAUUGCUAACAGAAAACUCUCACUAGACUGAAAGAAAACCGGUCUUUAGAAAUUAGGUCUAACAUAAGGUUCUAGGUUUAAGGUUUUGGUUUGUGAAGGAUUUAUCAUUAUGAUGAACCAAUAAUCCCAAGGCUCCUAUUAUUAUUAUUAUUAUUAU
rnacentral:lncRNA from 1 species